rnacentral:misc_RNA from 1 species
GAUGAAGAACGUAGCGAAAUGCGAUAAGUAGUGUGAAUUGCAGAAUUCAGUGAAUCAUCGAAUCUUUGAACGCACAUUGCGCCCCUUGGUAUUCCAUGGGGCAUGCCUGUCCGAGCGUCAUUGCUGCCCUCAAGCACGGCUUGUGUGUUGGGCCUCCGUCCUCCUCCCGGGGGACGGGCCCGAAAGGCAGCGGCGGCACCGCGUCCGGUCCUCGAGCGUAUGGGGCUUCGUCACCCGCUCUUGUAGGCCCGGCCGGCGCUUGCCGACACAUCAAUCUUUUUUCCAGGUUGACCUCGGAUCAGGUAGGGAUACCCGCUGAACUUAAGCAUAUCAAUAAGCGGAGGA